UACGGCUCAGUAACACGUGGAUAACCUGACCUAGGGUGGAGGAUAACCCCGGGAAACUGGGGAUAAUACUCCAUAGGCUACGGAAGCUGGAAUGCUCUGUAACCGAAAGUUCCGGCGCCCUAGGAUGGGUCUGCGGCCGAUUAGGUUGUUGUUGGGGUAACGGCCCAACAAGCCGAUCAUCGGUACGGGUUGUGGGAGCAAGAGCCCGGAGAUGGAUUCUGAGACAUGAAUCCAGGCCCUACGGGGCGCAGCAGGCGCGAAAACUUUACAAUGCGGGAAACCGUGAUAAGGGGACCCCGAGUGCCUGUACACGCAGGCUGUUCAGGUGUUUAAAACGCAUCUGGAGAAAGGGCCGGGCAAGACCGGUGCCAGCCGCCGCGGUAAUACCGGCGGCUCGAGUGGUGGCCACUAUUACUGGGCUUAAAGCGUCCGUAGCCGGGUUGUUAAGUCUCCUGGGAAAUCCAACGGCUCAACCGUUGGGCGUUCAGGGGAUACUGGCAAUCUAGGGAUCGGGGGAGGUGAGAGGUACUCUAGGGGUAGGAGUGAAAUCCUGUAAUCCUUGGGGGACCACCUGUGGCGAAGGCGUCUCACCAGAACGACUCCGACGGUGAGGGACGAAAGCUGGGGGAGCAAACCGGAUUAGAUACCCGGGUAGUCCCAGCUGUAAACGAUGCGCGUUAGGUGUAUCGGUGACUACGAGUUACCGAGGUGCCGAAGGGAAACCGUGAAACGUGCCGCCUGGGAAGUACGGUCGCAAGGCUGAAACUUAAAGGAAUUGGGCGGGGGGAGCACCACAACGGGUGGAGCCUGCGGUUUAAUUGGACUCAACGCCGGGAAGCUCACCGGGUAAGACAGCGGAGUGAUAGCCAGGCUGAAGACUUUGCUUGACCAGCUGAGAGGAGGUGCAUGGCCGUCGUCAGUUCGUACUGUGAAGCAUCCUGUUAAGUCAGGCAACGAGCGAGACCCGUGCC
rnacentral:rRNA from 1 species